GACGAACGCUGGCGGCGUGCCUAAUACAUGCAAGUCGAGCGAAGUUUUUCUGUUGCUUGCACUAGAAAAACUUAGCGGCGAACGGGUGAGUAACACGUAAAGAACCUGCCUCAUAGACUGGGACAACUAUUGGAAACGAUAUCUAAUACCGGAUAACAGUAUUUCUCGCAUGAGAGAUAUUUAAAAGUUGGUUAUGCUAACACUAUGAGAUGGCUUUGCGGUGCAUUAGCUAGUUGGUGGGGUAAAGGCCCACCAAGGCGACGAUGAAUAGCCGACCUGAGAGGGUGUUCGGCCACACUGGGACUGAGACACGGCCCAGACUCCUACGGGAGGCAGCAGUAGGGAAUCUUCCGCAAUGGGCGAAAGCCUGACGGAGCAACGCCGCGUGAGUGAAGAAGGAUUUCGGUUCGUAAAGCUCUGUUGUUAGGGAAGAAUGGAUAUGUAGUAACUAUACAUGUAAGAGACGGUACCUAACCAGAAAGCCACGGCUAACUACGUG
rnacentral:rRNA from 1 species